rnacentral:lncRNA from 1 species
GGGGUGGGAGUACUUUUGGCUGCCGAAGUCUGGAUGGCCAAUCCUGGUGACUUCUUCUUCUUCGGCGGAGGGGCCGACGUCUCGUCCGAACUCUUCCUCUUCUGCCUCUUGGCCACUUCGGACGAGCCGGAGACGACGAGGUCAGACAGUUUAGUCACUGCACAAGAAAUAAAUAUUAUCAUAUGCCUUAGCCGAAAUGAAAAGAAAAGCCAUGAAAGAAAAUUACAAGGUUUCUCAAGUUUAAUGGAAAAGAAGGGAGUCUUGGUAGUGUUGAUCACGGCUCGACUUAU